rnacentral:rRNA from 1 species
UAGAGUUUGAUCAUGGCUCAGGAUGAACGCUAGCGACAGGCUUAACACAUGCAAGUCGAGGGGCAGCGGGGAGGUAGCAAUACUUCCGCCGGCGACCGGCGCACGGGUGAGUAACACGUAUGGAACCUGCCCGUAGCAGGGGGAUAAGCGGAAGAAAUUCCGUCUAAUACCGCGUAAUAACUCCGAGAGGCAUCUCAUGGAGUUUAAAGGGUAACACCGGCUACGGAUGGCCAUGCGGCGCAUUAGCUAGUUGGCGGGGUAACGGCCCACCAAGGCGACGAUGCGUAGGGGUUCUGAGAGGAAGGUCCCCCACACUGGUACUGAGACACGGACCAGACUCCUACGGGAGGCAGCAGUGAGGAAUAUUGGUCAAUGGGCGCGAGCCUGAACCAGCCAAGUCGCGUGAGGGAAGACGGUCCUAUGGAUUGUAAACCUCUUUUGUCGGGGAGCAAAAGACGCCACGUGUGGCGUUCCGAGAGUACCCGAAGAAAAAGCAUCGGCUAACUCCGUGCCAGCAGCCGCGGUAAUACGGAGGAUGCGAGCGUUAUCCGGAUUUAUUGGGUUUAAAGGGUGCGCAGGCGGAAGAUCAAGUCAGCGGUAAAAUUGAGAGGCUCAACCUCUUCGAGCCGUUGAAACUGGUUUUCUUGAGUGAGCGAGAAGUAUGCGGAAUGCGUGGUGUAGCGGUGAAAUGCAUAGAUAUCACGCAGAACUCCGAUUGCGAAGGCAGCAUACCGGCGCUCAACUGACGCUCAUGCACGAAAGUGUGGGUAUCGAACAGGAUUAGAUACCUUGGUAGUCCACACAGUAAACGAUGAAUACUAAUUGUUCGGGGAGAAUGAUCCCUGAGUGAUACAGCGAAAGCGUUAAGUAUUCCACCUGGGGAGUACGCCGGCAACGGUGAAACUCAAAGGAAUUGACGGGGGCCCGCACAAGCGGAGGAACAUGUGGUUUAAUUCGAUGAUACGCGAGGAACCUUACCCGGGCUCAAACGCAGGCUGACGGGUCCCGAAAGGGGCCUUUCUUCGGACAUUCUGCGAGGUGCUGCAUGGUUGUCGUCAGCUCGUGCCGUGAGGUGUCGGCUUAAGUGCCAUAACGAGCGCAACCCCUGUCCACAGUUGCCAGCAGGUAAAGCUGGGGACUCUGUGGAGACUGCCGGCGCAAGCUGCGAGGAAGGCGGGGAUGACGUCAAAUCAGCACGGCCCUUACGUCCGGGGCGACACACGUGUUACAAUGGCAGGUACAGCGGGAUGCCACGGGGCGACCCGGCGCUGAACCCGAAAACCUGUCUCAGUUCGGAUUGGAGUCUGCAACCCGACUCCAUGAAGCUGGAUUCGCUAGUAAUCGCGCAUCAGCCACGGCGCGGUGAAUACGUUCCCGGGCCUUGUACACACCGCCCGUCAAGCCAUGGAAGCCGGGGGUACCUGAAGUGCGUGACCGCGAGGAGCGCCCUAGGGUAAAACCGGUGACUGGGGCUAAGUCGUAACAAGGUAACCGUA